UGGGGAAUAUUGCACAAUGGGCGCAAGCCUGAUGCAGCCAUGCCGCGUGUGUGAAGAAGGCUUUCGGGUCGUAAAACUCUGUUAUUGAAGAAGAACGUGUGUGACAGUAACUGGUCAUGCAGUGACGGUAUUCAAUCAGAAAGUCACGGCUAACUACGUGCCAGCAGCCGCGGUAAUACGUAGGUGGCAAGCGUUGUCCGGAUUUAUUGGGCGUAAAGCGAGUGCAGGCGGUCUUUUAAGUCUGAUGUGAAAGCCUUCGGCUUAACCGAAGAAGGGCAUCGGAAACUGGGAGACUUGAGUGCAGAAGAGGAGAGUGGAACUCC
rnacentral:rRNA from 1 species